rnacentral:rRNA from 1 species
UACGUAGGGGGCAAGCGUUGUCCGGAGUUACUGGGCGUAAAGCGCACGCAGGCGGUCGCGUAAGAGUGCGGGGACAGUGGGCGGGCUUACUGCCCAAGGGUCGCACAGACUGCGUGGACGUGGAGGGCCAGAGAGGGACCUGGAAUUCCGGGUGGAGCGGUGAAAUGCGUAGAGAUCCGGAGGAACACCAAUGGCGAAGGCAGGGUCCUGGCUGGCACCUGACGCUCAUGUGCGAAAGCCAGGGGAGCGAACGGG